rnacentral:rRNA from 1 species
UGCAAGUCGAACGAGAAGCUCCAGCUUGCUGGAGUGGAAAGUGGCGCACGGGUGCGUAACGCGUAGGCAACCUGCCCUUAGUUGGGGAAUAACUACGGGAAACCGUAGCUAAUACCGCAUAAUGUCUCAUGAACACAUGUUCGCGAGAUCAAAACUCCGGUGACUAAGGAUGGGCCUGCGUUGGAUUAGGUAGUUGGUAAGGUAACGGCUUACCAAGCCUGCGAUCCAUAGCUGGUCUGAGAGGAUGAUCAGCCACACUGGCACUGAGACACGGGCCAGACUCCUACGGGAGGCAGCAGUGAGGAAUAUUGCGCAAUGGGCGAAAGCCUGACGCAGCCACGCCGCGUGGAGGAAGACACCCCUAUGGGGCGUAAACUCCUUUUAUGUGAGAAGAAAGUCCUGGUCUCCAGGGCCUGACGGUAUCACAUGAAUAAGCACCGGCUAACUCCGUGCCAGCAGCCGCGGUAAUACAGAGGGUGCAAGCGUUGUCCGGAAUCACUGGGUGUAAAGGGUGUGUAGGCGGGGCUGUAAGUCAGAGGUGAAAUCCUACGGCUCAACCGUAGAACUGCCUUUGAUACUGCAGCUCUUGAAUCUCGGAGAGGUCACUAGAAUUCGUGGUGUAGCGGUGAAAUGCGUAGAUAUCACGAGGAAUACCAGAUGCGUAGGCGG